rnacentral:rRNA from 1 species
CCUACGGGGGGCAGCAGUGGGGAAUCUUCCGCAAUGGACGAAAGUCUGACGGAGCAACGCCGCGUGAACGAUGACGGCCUUCGGGUUGUAAAGUUCUGUUAUACGGGACGAAUGGCGUAGCGGUCAAUACCCGUUACGAGUGACGGUACCGUAAGAGAAAGCCACGGCUAACUACGUGCCAGCAGCCGCGGUAAUACGUAGGUGGCAAGCGUUGUCCGGAAUUAUUGGGCGUAAAGGGCGCGCAGGCGGCGUCGUAAGUCGGUCUUAAAAGUGCGGGGCUUAACCCCGUGAGGGGACCGAAACUGCGAUGCUAGAGUAUCGGAGAGGAAAGCGGAAUUCCUAGUGUAGCGGUGAAAUGCGUAGAUAUUAGGAGGAACACCAGUGGCGAAAGCGGCUUUCUGGACGACAACUGACGCUGAGGCGCGAAAGCCAGGGGAG